rnacentral:antisense_RNA from 1 species
GGGUGCUUGAGGCUUUCUGUCUUGAGCAUUGUAAAAAUGAUAUUCCAGGCAGAAAGAGAAAAGCCCCAUCCGACUAUAAAUCGAAAUGAGGCUACUCCUAAUGCUCAACAACAUAAGGCUAGCCUCUUACCUGAUAAAAAGCAAGGAGAGAAGGCUAUGAAG